rnacentral:lncRNA from 1 species
GGUGAACAGCCUCUUUUGCCGGUAUUCAGUGAAGAAAGCAAGUCUAAAUAUGCAGUUCUCUCACUGGAGUGAAAGAUGUUUUGUUCAUUUCUAAUCAACUAUGCUAGACAGCUGCAAGCUGAAAAGUGCCUGCAAUUUGCCAUUUAUUUGUAAUAAGUUAUACCUGGAAGGAAUAACUUGCUAUUCGCACAACUGAGUGUAUGAGAUCCUACUCCAUCCACAGCUGUGCACCUGUGACCAUGAGAUUGUUCGAAUGUUUGAAAGGAUAAAAUACACAAAAUAAUAAACACUGCUGGAACCAGUAAUGCAGAAGUCCCCUUGGCUGAUCCCGGAAUGUACCAGCUGGACAUUACAUUAAGAAGGGGUCAAAGUUUAGCUGCUCGAGAUCGAGGAG